UCUAGAUGAGAAAAUUUGGGUUUGACCUCUGUCACAGAUUGUGCAUGUGUGCUGCUGAAUGAAGAAAGUUCCUCUGGUCCAGUAUCUUCACUAGUUUAAAAAAAAAAGUGGGCUACAGUACAUAAAUCCUAACAUCUCUUCCAGCUUGACUGGCUUGUGGGUCUAAUGGUUACUUCAGGCGAGUAUGGCCAUUCUGUGCUACAUGGAGGAGCAGAAGAUACAGCAAGCUGACUGCACUUGGGCUGUGUGAUGUCACUUCCACAACAAAUCCUACCAUGUUGUGUACAAAAAGGCUGGCUGCUGACUUGCAGUGGCCAACAGAACCUGGCAUUAAUGAUGUGAGUUCCACGAGCCUCAGGAUGUCCUGCCGGUUCAGCCUUUAUUCUCCUGGGUGACCAUUUCACUGCGGGAGUGCACAACCCAUCCCAUGUCCCCGAGGACAGAGAGCAGCGCAGUCACCUGGGCCACUCUUGGCAGCAUCCAAGCCAAGGUGACAGGCGAGAAGAAAUGCCACCAAACUCUCAGAACCAGAGAAAUAAAAUAUUCAUUACUCUAAGCCUCCCAGCUUUGGCAGGCCAACUGCCAUCUCCCUUCGCAACCCCAGGCCAGUAAACUUCAGAAACAUUAUCAAAA